ACGUAGGGGACGAGCGUUGUCCGGAUUUACUGGGCGUAAAGCGCGCGUAGGCGGUCAAUCAAGUCAGCUGUGAAAUCGCUUGGCUUAACCGGAUCAUGGGCUUGAAACUGGUUAACUGGAGUGUUGGAGAGGCAAGUGGAAUUCCCAGUGUAGCGGUGAAAUGCGUAGAUAUCAGGAAGAACACCGGUGGCGAAGGCGCCUUGCUGGGCAGUAAUUGACGCUGAGGCGCGAAAGCCAGGGGAGCAAAUGG
rnacentral:rRNA from 1 species